AUACAACGUACAUAAGAAGGCCUUUCCUUUCCGCCCGUAAGGCUUUCCACGACCAUGACGAAAAACGCGACUUCGUCGAGGCGUCUGAUUUUAAUGAAGUGACUUCCUUGUUGUAUUCAGCAUCGUUUUUAUCCAAGGCUACGGAAAGCAGGUAGAAGGUAAGACACAUGGUUAAAAUCAGUUCAACUUCUACGACGGCUUGAGAAAUAGACGUUUGUGAGAAGCAACAGUGCCAUAAGAAAAUUGCGGAACCGAUGAAUCCCAGAAGAAGUAAUGCGUAAACCAAAAGCAGCUUAGUAAUAGACGUCCGUUGAAAAAGACUGCGGCUAAAUCCAGAAUGGAUAUCAAAAGAAAAGGUGACACCGUUAAGGACAUGAUGCGAGAGCGACGUCUUCCUCUCUAAGUACGUGGCUGAAAUAAGCUGUAUUGGCUUGAGAUCUGUACAAAUAUGAUAAAUGAGCGGUUACCUGAUCAUUAUGCAAGGUUAUAUUGCGCUCCUGAUUUUUACACGAAAACGAACGUAUAAAUAGGUUGCGGGGUUUUGAAAUUCACGACACUUCAUGAAAAGUGUGAGCUGCCAUGGUCUUAACCCUUUACCUCGCAUGAGUGACCAAUGUUGAGAGUAAAAAUUAACUAAAUCUAACACUCGGAAAGGCCUUCUUAUGUACGUUGUAUCCUUGACACUUCUAAGAAACAAUAUCACAAUAUUUUAAAGAGUGUAAACA